AUUGAACGCUGGCGGCAGGCCUAACACAUGCAAGUCGAGCGGAUGAAGGGAGCUUGCUCCUGGAUUCAGCGGCGGACGGGUGAGUAAUGCCUAGGAAUCUGCCUGGUAGUGGGGGAUAACGUCCGGAAACGGGCGCUAAUACCGCAUACGUCCUGAGGGAGAAAGUGGGGGAUCUUCGGACCUCACGCUAUCAGAUGAGCCUAGGUCGGAUUAGCUAGUUGGUGGGGUAAAGGCCUACCAAGGCGACGAUCCGUAACUGGUCUGAGAGGAUGAUCAGUCACACUGGAACUGAGACACGGUCCAGACUCCUACGGGAGGCAGCAGUGGGGAAUAUUGGACAAUGGGCGAAAGCCUGAUCCAGCCAUGCCGCGUGUUUGAAGAAGGUCUUCGGAUUGUAAAGCCCUUUAAGUUGGGAGGAAGGGCAGUAAGUUAAUACCUUGCUGUUUUGACGUUACCUACAGAGUAAGCACCGGCUAACUUCGCG
rnacentral:rRNA from 1 species